CCUACGGGUGGCAGUAGUGAGGAAUAUUGGUCAAUGGGAGAGAUCCUGAACCAGCCAAGCCGCGUGAGGGAAGACGGCCCUAUGGGUUGUAAACCUCUUUUGUCGGAGCACAAACCCCGGGACGAGUCCCGGACUGCGUGUAUCCGAAGAAAAAGCAUCGGCUAACUCCGUGCCAGCAGCCGCGGUAAUACGGAGGAUGCUAGCGUUCUCCGGAUUUCUUGGGUUUAAAGGGUGCGUAGGCGGUCUGUUAAGUCAGCGGUAAAAUUGCGGGGCUCAACCCCGGCGAGCCGUUGAAACUGGCAGACUGGAGUGGGCGAGAAGUACGCGGAAUGCGCGGGGUAGCGGUGAAAUGCAUAGAUAUCGCGCAGAACUCCGAUUGCGAAGGCAGCGUACCGGAGCCAGACUGACGCUGAGGCACGAAAGCGUGGGGAUCGAACAGGAUUAGAUACCCUUGUAGUC
rnacentral:rRNA from 1 species